AGUGCAGAAGAGGAGAGUGGAAUUCCACGUGUAGCGGUGAAAUGCGAUAGAGAUGUGGAGGAACACCAGUGGCGAAGGCGACUCUCUGGUCUGUAACUGACGCUGAGGAGCGAAAGCGUGGGGAGCGAACAGGAUUAGAUACCCUGGUAGUCCACGCCGUAAACGAUGAGUGCUAAGUGUUAGGGGGUUUCCGCCCCUUAGUGCUGCAGCUAACGCAUUAAGCACUCCGCCUGGGGAGUACGGUCGCAAGACUGAAACUCAAAGGAAUUGACGGGGGCCCGCACAAGCGGUGGAGCAUGUGGUUUAAUUCGAAGCAACGCGAAGAACCUUACCAGGUCUUGACAUCCUCUGACAAUCCUAGAGAUAGGACGUCCCCUUCGGGGGCAGAGUGACAGGUGGUGCAUGGUUGUCGUCAGCUCGUGUCGUGAGAUGUUGGGUUAAGUCCCGCAACGAGCGCAACCCUUGAUCUUAGUUGCCAGCAUUCAGUUGGGCACUCUAAGGUGACUGCCGGUGACAAACCGGAGGAAGGUGGGGAUGACGUCAAAUCAUCAUGCCCCUUAUGACCUGGGCUACACACGUGCUACAAUGGACAGAACAAAGGGCAGCGAAACCGCGAGGUUAAGCCAAUCCCACAAAUCUGUUCUCAGUUCGGAUCGCAGUCUGCAACUCGACUGCGUGAAGCUGGAAUCGCUAGUAAUCGCGGAUCAGCAUGCCGCGGU
rnacentral:rRNA from 1 species